rnacentral:rRNA from 1 species
GGGGAAUAUUGGGCAAUGGGCGAAAGCCUGAUCCAGCAAUGCCGCGUGGGUGAUGAAGGCCUUCGGGUUGUAAAGCCCUGUGGGGGGAGACGAAUAAGUGCAGCCUAAUACGUUGCAUGAUGACGGUAUCUCCUUAGCAAGCCCCGGCUAACUCUGUGCCAGCAGCCGCGGUAAUACAGAGGUGGCAAGCGUUGUUCGGAAUUACUGGGCGUAAAGGGCGCGUAGGCGGCCUUCUAAGUCGGACGUGAAAUCCCCAGGCUUAACUUGGGAACUGCGUCCGAUACUGGAGGGCUCGAGUGCGGGAGAGGGAUGUGGAAUUCCAGGUGUAGCGGUGAAAUGCGUAGAUAUCUGGAGGAACACCGGUGGCGAAGGCGGCAUCCUGGACCGACACUGACGCUGAUGCGCGAAAGCCAGGGGAGCAAAC